AGACUUAUAGAUCGGAUAACAGUAACAGACUGAACCCAGCUGAUUCGGAUACUACUAACUCUACUCGUCACAAGCUAAGAGCCACUUCGACUAGCUCUGAGUUUCUUUAUUUGGGUACUUUGGUCAGUUCGCAUACCAUAGAUGAAGGUUCUAAUGCUCAAGACAAUGCUAAUGUUGGGUCGGAUCCUCGGAAAUUGGAUUCGCCGGAGUUGCUCCCACUGCCACCUCUUAACAGGCAGAGUUCCAGGCUGAAUUUCGGGAAUGGAGAAGUGGGGUCUACUGCGGGUGAGGAAGAAGAGUUUUACUCGCCGCGAGGGUCUCUGGGAGGUCGAGAGAGCUCGAGCGGGAUGGGAUCGGGGUCCAGAAGAGUGUUUGCGGCUGUCGGUGGUCAGGAUUUUGAUGCAGGAAGCACUGGCUCAAGCACGUAUUCGUCUUCUACUUCAGGCUCUCCUGCUCGGUCUCAAUCACUUAGUAGUUCUCCGCUAGUAAGGUUAAGUCCACGACCAAAAUCGCCGGAUUCUGCUGUUCUUCAGCCUGCUCCAGCACCUCCUGCCCCGCCUCCACCACCACUAAUGCCUCUUCAUAACGACCGGAAGUAUCCAUCACCGUCUCCGUCUGCUGCCUCGUCUCGAGAUGAAUCGCCGUGUGUAUCGUUUAAUUUGGACCGAAACGCACAGUCUCCAUCAGCGUCCUCUGCUUCUUCAUCGCCCAACAGGAGUUUGGAGAAAAGAGCAGGUGCAUCACCGCGAAUAUUGAAUGAUUUGGAUCGAAAUGUGCGGUCUCCAUUGCUGUCGCCAGCAAAUGUAUUGAAUGUUUUGGAUCAAAAUAGGGAGUCCCCUUCACUAUCUUCUGUUUCUACAUCACCUGACAGAAGUUUGGAGAAAACUCCGAAUGCUUCUCCUAGAAUAUCGAAUGAUUUGGAUCGAGAUGUGAGGUCCCCACAUCUGUCUUCUACUUCUACUUCGCCAGAUAAAAUUUUUGAGAGGGCCCCGUCUCCGAGAUUAUCAAAUGGUUUGGAUCGAGAUGCGCACUCGCCUUCAUUUUCUUCAACUUCGACUUCACCAGGCAGAGAUUUGGACAAGAACCCACUCGCAUAUCCCAGAAUUUCAAAUGUUUCGGA
rnacentral:misc_RNA from 1 species